rnacentral:lncRNA from 1 species
AACUGGAGGAUAAACUAGCAGAAGUGAGAAGAAAAUUCAAGGUUAGAGAAGAUUUUCUGAAGAGGCUUAUAAGAAGUCACAUAGCUACAGGGAUUGAGGUUCAGAAAAGGCUGUAUUCCGUUGAAGAAUCCCAGUUUGCUGAAAUGCAGGAGUAUAUAAGAAGAAAGGUACUCUAUAAUGCGGCUUUGUUAGAGGUACAGGAGCCACUGAAAGAGUUUGAAAGAGAGGCUGAGCGAAUCAGGAACAUUCACAGAGAGCACGCUAAAAUGGUUCAUGACAUACGGAGGAGGAAAGAACGUGUUAAAAGAAAAGUAGAGGCAACAAAGAAAAAAUUACAGAAAAAAAGCAAGAAAAGCCUCAAGGAACUCACAAAAACUGAGGGAAAGGGCACAAUGAUUCACCAAGAAAUUGAGAUAGCUAAAACCAAAACAUUUGUUUUCCAUGAGAAAAGCAAGGAGCUGAGCAAGGAGAUAAUGAUAAUGGAUCUGGAGAGGAAAAGCUUCGAAGAAAAACUUGUAAAGUUGCAGGAAGAGUUCAUGAAGUUGCGAUUCGACAGGGAACACAUACACGGCGUGUUCGACCACAUCUUAAGAGAGAGACAGCGCUGUGAAGAGAGGAUCUUCGAUGAGGAGAGGAGGUUCAAAAGGCUUACAGAAAUGAGGAAGGACACCCUGGAGAACAUCU